CUAACUAAUAACAUACUACAUCUUCAUUUUGUUAGUUGACAUUAUACCUCAAUGAAUUUCCAAAAAUUAAUUCAAACUUCAUUGUCGAUGGUAUUAACCGAAGGGUAGGUGAAAUUGUAAGAGAAACUGACCUGUCAUUCAAAAUGGUAUAUAUUUAGCAAGGAACCCUAGAUUAACAUUGGGAGCUCUUAGGCUUUUUCCUUAUUAAUUAUCACAGUGUGUAAUUAAAAUAUUCUCUAAAUUCAAAACUAAAAAAUUCUACAACUGAAGGAUGUGAUUAAAAAUAUGGUCCAUAUUAUCAUGUGUAUUUUUAGCUAAUUAAUCUGUAGUGCAAAUAUUUAGUAGGGGUUGGGGGGAAUAGAAAGGUAAUAUUGCUAAAAGACCCUUUUUGUGUAUAUUAAGGAAGUUUAUUUUCAUAACCCUGAAUAUUUUGAAUGAAUUUUUUUUGCAUUCAUUAGGAAUAUAUGAGCAGAGAUUCAGUCCUGGGAUUUGACCGUCUGAAGGGCAGUGAAGACAAAUAUGCUCCCAGAUUGGCAGAACUGAACAUUGAAAGCCAAAUGGGAAAAGACAAGUUAUGCAAAUUAUUUAGGAGCCUCAGAAAGGACUUUAAUGGAUUUGCAAAUGGAGCACAUCAAGAAGAUAUUAAAGCAACUUUUAAUAUAAAUGUUAGAAGGAGGAAAUCACUAAAUCUUGAAACCUGGAAAACAUUGUUAAAGGGCUCAAAUCAAUUCUCUGCCCCAAUGGAUUGGAUUGGUCUUCCCUCUUUGAGUCAAUUUCAAUGCAUGUUGCACUGUCAAAUGCAGACAUCAAAGAGGCUACAUGAUUCCAGGGUCAAAGUAAGCUUUAACCUGUUGAAGCCAGUAUUAUGAUUUCUCUGGAAACUCCUCAUUGUGGGAUCUGGAACCUGUUGUUCUGAUCAGAUGACCAGCCUCCUCAGUUUUCACUAUGGACUUCUGUUUAUUUUGUAAAACAAGUUAUGUCAAGAGGCUCUGCCUUCUAUGAGACACCCUCUCACCUGAAGUGUAUUGAAACCCUGCCCUUACUGGCCCUCCCAGGCACUCUAGUACUUUGGUGCUGUCUUAAGUUCUGACUUGCAAUUCUUUUGCCUUGAUUAAAGACCUUUGUUUUGAAAUUUUGGUAUUUCUCUUUAUGGAAGGCUGACAAUACAAAGUAAUACAAAGCAAUUUCAAGCCAAAAAAGGUGCCAAAUUGGUGGGGUUGCAGAAUCAAUAAAGAUUUUAUACCACAUUUUUUAAGGCCA
rnacentral:lncRNA from 1 species